rnacentral:misc_RNA from 1 species
CAUGAUUCCAGUCAACAUGGGCGACUGAUCGCGACGGUCGCUCUGCUCCGUAGCUGUACGCGAGGAGAUUGAAAGAAAGGGAAAGAAGGCAUCACCACCACCACCACCACCAGCAUCGCGUACCGGCGGCUCAGCGGUAAAGCAUCAGCAGUUGUUCGUUUACAAGAUGGCAGACGGGCCGUCCGGUGAAGAGGCGCCGAGCGAGUUCGGCACUGUAAAUCGCGUGCCCAAAGAAAGACACAAGUGUAAUAAUAACGAUGUAGUGAUAAACAUUGAUAAGGAAGGUGUUCGGGUUACGGAAAGUGAUAAUAUUACCUCGUGGGCGAGUGUCGACGAGAAAAAGAAACGUGAUGUUUAUGUUGGUGAUGAUGAUGAUGACGAUGACGAUGACGACGACUACGAUGAUGACGAAUACGACGACGACGACGACUACGACGAUCGUGAUGCUGGUGAUGACGAGGAAGACGACGACGUCGACGAUGACGAUGAAGUUAGCAGAGGUGGCAGUAUAAGCAGUGGUUGUGUCCAUGAUGAUGUGCCCCUUCGUUCUUCGGCAACGACCAUGGUUGUUCACAAGAAACCGCCAACGAAAGAGACUCUCGUAGUUCUCUUGCACCCUAUGAGUGUUGUUGGGAAAAAAACUGUUGGCUCGGUCGAUGAUAGAACGGCGUUGCUUGGGGAGAUUAACGGCGACGCGAUUCGCGGUGUUAUCAUCCCCGAACCGAAGAGGGGAGCGGCGGUUAAAAGUAUCGACAAAGUGCCAACGGGGGUUGGCAACACCACCUUCAAAGGACAAAUUAGAACAGCGGACGAUACCCUCGUUGGACCCUGCGGGAAGAAACGAUGCGUCGAUCGAUACGAUAGCUCGGAAAGCUCCGACAGCGGAGUGGUCGUCUCCUGCGGCGAAUGCAGCAGCAGCGGGACCAGCGACAUAACCGAGCCCGGAUCACCCUGUAGUACGAGCAGCGACGAAGGUCUCGCCAGUAUUCGAUCGAGUGGCCCAAGCCCCCUGCACAAGCUGGCGCCCCCUACGUCAACCCCCUCGCGGGGCCCUCAAUGGCCCUGGACGCCACCCCUCGCCGCCACCGCUUGUUCUACCUUGAAGAAGAUUAAGGGCGAACCGGAAGCUGGGACCCUGCCCAAGGCCGGGGCUGCCGACCCGACUAACCGAGGAAAGGGUCAGCACCGCCAUCACGAAGGGCCGAAUGGCCGAAUAAAUUGCACACAGGGAAAGAUCACCGAGUAUUUCAAGACCCAGAUCAAGCCGCAGCAAGUCAAGGUGAAGAAGUCAUUAGAAAUGUCGACGCUGGUCGCCAAGAGUUCGCCAGAAUUUCGCCGACCUCCGACAGUUCAGAGAAACAAAGGUGGACUGGCCAAGUAUUUGGGGACAACGCCUCCGAACGGAAGGCCGAACGACUGGGAGGUUCGCACGCUGACGAUGUCGCCGCCACCGUUGAAAAAGUUGCCCGUUAUCGCGCCACGUGCUCAUAAUAAAAUUGAAAAACUACCAAACCCCGUUCCUAGUCUACCUAUUUCCACCAACAUUCUAAACUCCCUUCCGACUGUAAAGCUCUCAUCCAUGCGUCUGCCGUCCAACAUCAGUCCCGAUCCAAAAAUUAUGUCCUCACCGCCUACGACCCCGACCCCCACCCCCACCCCCACCCCCACUCCCACCCCAACUCUAAAUUCGAACCCGAACCCGAACCCGACCUCCUCGCCGACGACGGAGGCCAUAGAUGACGUCGGUUUUCGAGACGACGCGUUCGCCAAGCCGACCGUAAACGAGAACAACAAUUUGACGUCGACGAUUAUUGCAACCAGAUCACAGAACGAACAUCUCUCGCGGCCGCCCCCCACCGGUCCCCGUACCCCGCAGGACGACGAGGUAGCCCACGUUGACAACAAACCGAAGGAACCUCUGUCGCCUAUACUUUCUGCACCGACCACCAUCCGAUUUCCAGCUCAAGCACCGGGAAAGAACAGACCCCAGACAACAGACAGCGGUAUCUGCAAUUGGGACCAAUGCGACGCCAGAUUUGAGUCGAGCAGUGGUCUACUUGAGCAUUUGCAGGUUUCUCACAUCAAUACUCAAACUGGUGGUGACAAUUUCAUUUGUCACUGGCAGGGCUGUAAAGUACAAGGGAGAACUUCCUGCUCUCGUCGGUGGUUGGAGAGACAUGUUCUUUCACAUGGUGGAAAUAAACCGUUCAGGUGCAUCGUUGACGGAUGUGGUAGCAGAUUCAGUUCACAGAUUACAUUAGAAAGACACGUCAAUGGUCACUUCAAUCAACCAGAAACUAGCAGCAGUAGCAGUAGAAAAAGUUGCGAGAAUGGUGGAAAAUUGGUCAGAAGAAACGGUAAACGUUUGAGAUAUAGACGACAACCUUGGUCUGCAAGGUUGUUCGACUUCAUCGACACAGGUGUUAUGGAAGGUUUGCAUCAUCGACUUCUGGAACUUGCACGAACUCGCACACAAGGCCAUUUAGCAGAAACUCCCGGAAACUCGAUGGUCUUAACAAGUCAGGUUCUAGCUCGAAGAGUAGAGCAGGAUGGCAAGACCAAGGUGUUAUUGCGAUGGUAUCCACACGACAUAGUUCCAGACGAGUGGGUCCUUGAAUCUGAAGUGCAAGACAUGAAAUGCAUUAGAAUAUCCAACGCUGCAGCGACAUCGCCGGAUGAAGUAAACCUAGCGUUGUAUCCGGCAAUGAAUAGCGGAACGCUCCCUCAGUCUCGAACGAAACAACGCCGGAAACCAGUUAAAAACUCGUGAUACCAAUAAAUUUAUUUGACGGUAAAUAAAUGAAGAAGAGUUAUCUCCAAGAUCGCGAGAAACAUUGAAGCAGCAGUCCCGACAGGAUGUCGUGGAAGGUGCUGGUGAUCAUAGUCGCGCGGUACAAACGGACAAAAUACGCGCUCCGAGUUGAACAAUGAGGUAUAAGAGGCUUGCUAUGCUCGAAAAGUGCACCAACUGUUGAGAAUUAAAUUCCGAUACCGUUGAUCGGAAGGGUAGUCGCACGAAUAAUAUCUUCAAGCAUAUAGCGUGGUGCGACAUAAAGUCUCCUUGAUAUCGCACGAGGACUUGCAUUCGAAAACUUAUUCUACAAGUUUAGUAAAGUUGACUAAAAUCUAUGUCUUUGGAGACAAGGAGGAGAAGGAGGAGAAGGAGGAGGAGGAGGAGGAGGAGGAGAAGGAGGAGGAGGAGGAGG